AAUCAACGCUGGCGGCGUGCCUCAGACAUGCAAGUCGAACGAUUAAACUUUCCUUCGGGAAAGAUAUAAAGUGGCGCACGGGUGAGUAACACGUAAGUAAUCUACCUUCGAGUGGGGAAUAACGUUCGGAAACGGACGCUAAUACCGCAUAAUGCAGCGGCAUCGCAAGAUGACAGUUGUUAAACGGAUUUAUUCGCUUG
rnacentral:rRNA from 1 species